AAAAAGUUUUAUUUUGGCUUUAAAAAUUAAUUAAUAAUUUUUUUAUAUGUAAGUUUAAGCAUUAAAAUUAAUAUUUAAAUAAUAUUUAUUUUUUUUUGCAAUUUAUAAAUUUUUAUAUUUAAGAAAUUAAGAUUAAGAAAUUUAUUUUAGUAUUAACAAAAUUUGUGCCAGCAGUUGCGGUUAAACAAGUGAUAUAAUUAUUUUUUAUUAAUUUGUAAUUAAUUAAUAUUAAAUUUAAAUAUAAUAUAAAAUUUAUUAAGUGAAAUUUUAAAUUUUAGAAAAUUUUAAUUAAAUUUUAUGAAGUUAUUAAAUUUUUAUAUAAACUAGGAUUAGAUACCCUAUUAUUAAAAUGUAAAAAAUUAAAAUUGAAUUAGUAUUAGUUAUGUUCUUGAAAAUUAAAAAUUUUGGCGGUAUUUUAGUCUUUUCAGAGGAACCUGUCCUAUAAUUGAUAGUCCACGAUUUACUGUACUUAUUUUAUUAGUUUAUAUAUCGUCGUAGUUUAAAUAUUUUAUAAGAAUAAAAAUAUUUAAAAUUUUAAAUUAAAUAAUAAAUCAGAUCAAGGUAUAGCUUAUAAAUAAGAAGAGAUGGGUUACAAUAAAAUAAUUUUUUGGAUUUAUAGUUGUAAAUUAUAUUGAAAUUGGAUUUGAAAGUAAUAUAAUUAAAUUAAUUUAUAUGAUUAAGCUCUAAAAUAUGUACAUAUCGCCCGUCACUUUCAUAUAAAAUGAGAUAAGUCGUAACAAAGUAGAUGUACUGGAAAGUGUAUCUAGAAUGA
rnacentral:ncRNA from 1 species